UACGUAGGGUGCGAGCGUUAAUCGGAAUUACUGGGCGUAAAGCGUGCGCAGGCGGGCUUUUAAGCCAGACGUGAAAUCCCCGGGCUUAACCUGGGAAUGGCGUUUGGGACUGGGAGUCUGGAGUGCGGCAGAGGAGACUGGAAUUCCUGGUGUAGCAGUGAAAUGCGUAGAUAUCAGGAGGAACACCUGUGGUGUAGACAGCUUACUGGACCAUUUCUGACGCUGAGACACGAAAGCGUGGGUAGCAAACAGG
rnacentral:rRNA from 1 species